UCCGUUAAAGUGAGUAAAUACUGCUCAUUUUUAAUUUCCUCCCCAGUCAAGUGCCAGCUGUUAUAAAUUACUGAUUAGACCAGGUAGCACAUUUCAGCUGCUUACAGGGAGCAUUUGGUUUGCAUCUCACUUGGGGUCUGGAUUAUCUGAUCAUGAAGUACCUAUGGCUAGGUUUUUUUGUUUUUGCAAUUGCCACAACAUUGGAUGCGUCUAAAGAUACUAAUGACGAUAUCCAAAUCACAUGUGAAGAGAGUAAUGUUCAUAUUAAGUGGAAAGUGGACAGACCAAUGACUGACAAUCCUGCACGUCUUUUCCUGGGUAGUUGCUUUCCUUCACGCUUCACAAAUGAAUCAAGUGGAGCAGAAGCAGAAUUUUACUAUCCACUUGGUGCUUGUGACUUCAGACGAAUGGCAACAUGGAAAUACUUGGUGUAUGAGAACAAGCUAACCUACAGGCCGUUGCCAAAGCCCUCCCCUCCUUCUUUCAGCUAUCCGGUUAGAUGUGUGUAUGACAGGCCGAAGGGUUGGACUCCUACCUUCCAGAGCUCUUCUACGGGUGUUAUCCAAGGUCAUGGAGAACUGGCUUUCCACAUGGAAAUUCUCAACGAUGAUUUCAGUGGCCCUGCAGAAUCCAAUGUCUUUCCACUGGGAUCUUUUGUACCUAUCUGGGCUGGUGUUAACCAGCAGGCACAUCAGCCUCUGCUGCUGCUUCUAGAGGAAUGUGUAGCCUCUACAACACUCGAAAUGUACUCCGAUACUCUUACAUACCCACUCAUCUCCAAUAAAGGGUGCCUUGUAGAUAGUAAGAAAAGCUUCUCCAAGUUUUUACCAAGGUAUCACUCCUCCUCGCUGCUGCUUCACCUUCAAGCGUUUAAAUUCGCUGUGGGACAAGAGAUCUACAUCCAUUGCAAAUUAAUUGCAUGGGACCCUGACCAACUCAGUGAAGAAAAGAAGGCCUGCAAUUAUAAUAAAGACGCAGGAGCGUGGGAGCUUUUAGACGACCCAUUCCAGAGUUCUCUUUGUCAAUGCUGUGAAUCAACAUGUCAAGGCCGUGGAAAGAGGGACACAGAUUCUACACCUCAAGGACUGGUACUAAAGUCUGUGCUGGGACCUUUGACAUUUACAGAAGAUUCACUGUGAUGUAACUUCAUGCGAGUGGCUGUCUAUAGUGAUGCAAUUGAUAACUGACAGGUGCUGGAUUCCUGAUCGGAGUGAUUGAGUAGGAGUGGCCCAAGAAGUCAUCAGAUUUUUCACCGCUCAAUCUUUUAUGCAUCUUGUUGAUUAAAAGGCUGUGAAACAUCCUA